GAUGAACGCUGGCGGCGUGCCUAAUACAUGCAAGUCGAGCGAACAGACGAGGAGCUUGCUCCUCUGACGUUAGCGGCGGACGGGUGAGUAACACGUGGAUAACCUACCUAUAAGACUGGGAUAACUUCGGGAAACCGGAGCUAAUACCGGAUAAUAUAUUGAACCGCAUGGUUCAAUAGUGAAAGACGGUUUUGCUGUCACUUAUAGAUGGAUCCGCGCCGCAUUAGCUAGUUGGUAAGGUAACGGCUUACCAAGGCAACGAUGCGUAGCCGACCUGAGAGGGUGAUCGGCCACACUGGAACUGAGACACGGUCCAGACUCCUACGGGAGGCAGCAGUAGGGAAUCUUCCGCAAUUGGCGAAAGCCUGACGGAGCAACGCCGCGUGAAUGAUGAAGGUCUUCGGAUCGUAAAACUCUGUUAUUAGGGAAGAACAAAUGUGUAAGUAACUAUGCACGUCUUGACGGUACCUAAUCAGAAAGCCACGGCUAACUACGUG
rnacentral:rRNA from 1 species